rnacentral:rRNA from 1 species
CCUACGGGAGGCAGCAGUGAGGAAUAUUGGUCAAUGGACGAGAGUCUGAACCAGCCAAGUAGCGUGAAGGAUGACUGCCCUAUGGGUUGUAAACUUCUUUUGUCAAGGGACAAAAUCAGGCUCGAGAGCCUGACCGAGGGUACUUGAAGAAAAAGCAUCGGCUAACUCCGUGCCAGCAGCCGCGGUAAUACGGAGGAUGCGAGCGUUAUCCGGAUUUAUUGGGUUUAAAGGGUGCGUAGGCGGACUGUUAAGUCAGCGGUAAAAGCCCGGGGCUCAACCCCGGCGAGCCGUUGAAACUGGCUGUCUUGAGAUGUCGAGAGGUAUGCGGAAUGCGCAGUGUAGCGGUGAAAUGCUUAGAUAUGGCGCAGAACUCCGAUUGCGAAGGCAGCAUACCGGCGGCGAUCUGACGCUGAGGCACGAAAGCGUGGGUAUCGAACAGGAUUAGAUACCCCAGUAGUC